UACGAAGGGGGCUAGCGUUGUUCGGAAUCACUGGGCGUAAAGCGCAUGCAGGCGGAUUGUUAAGUCGGGGGUGAAAUCCCGAGGCUCAACCUCGGAACUGCCUUCGAUACUGGCAAUCUUGAGUCCGGGAGAGGUGAGUGGAACUGCGAGUGUAGAGGUGAAAUUCGUAGAUAUUCGCAAGAACACCAGUGGCGAAGGCGGCUCACUGGCCCGUAACUUGACGCUGAGGCACGAAAGCGUGGGGAGCAAACAGG
rnacentral:rRNA from 1 species